UACGGAGGGUGCAAGCGUUAUCCGGAUUUACUGGGUUUAAAGGGUGCGUAGGUGGGUCUGUAAGUCAGUGGUGAAAUCUUCAAGCUUAACUUGGAAACUGCCAUUGAUACUAUAGGUCUUGAAUUAUCUGGAGGUAAGCGGAAUAUGUCAUGUAGCGGUGAAAUGCUUAGAUAUGACAUAGAACACCAAUUGCGAAGGCAGCUUACUACGGAUUGAUUGACACUGAGGCACGAAAGCGUGGGGAUCAAACAGG
rnacentral:rRNA from 1 species